AUGUCCUGUGGCCGUCUGGCUGGAGCGGUGGGGAUGUGGACGGGUGGUCAGACGCGCCGUUGGUUUAGGUGGCUGUGUGCCCGCGUCGCGUCGGUCGGCGCACGUAGUACCGAGUGCUUGUACAUGUCAUUCCUCCUUGCCGAGGGCGGCGGCGUCGGGAAGAAGUCGUCGUCCUCGCCGUGGAUAGCUGUGGCGUUGCAGAUCGGGGCGCAUCACUGCGGAUCCACCUUCGACAUUGCCGGAGAGGAGCGCCGCCACGGAUCCGACCGGAACGGGACCGGAUCGAUCACCCGCAUGUGCUCCAGGAAGCGCGCCCCGUCCGUCCCGCUCGGUCGCGCAGCACACAGCAGGCAGCCCCAAGGUCAGUGGAUGCAGGAGACCGAUGCGGUGGCAGGCGGGCAUAAGAGUGAGGCUGCCUGCUCGUCGACGCGGGCGGCGAUGCGGCGGGGGGAGGGGAAGGGCGAGAGGAAUAUACGAGACAUGGAUAUGGACUUUGGAGAUGCACAGAAAGAAUCCAUUGAGGGUUCAGAUGCAAUGUCGCUGGAAGGGGCCGGAAAUUCACAACAUAAUAACGUCGAAGAGGUUAUAUCUCAUAACAAACCAAAAAAGGAUGCUAAUUUACAUGUUAUCCCACAAGACUAUGUUUGUACCCCUAGAGAUAUUACAGUCAUCGAAUCAAUCAAGUCUGCCCCCAAGAAUACCCAGUUCGUGGACAUUGGAGAUGCCUUGUUAGCAACCGACGAUUUGAGAUGCCUUAUAAAAAAUGAUAUGUUCUUACAUGACGGUGUGAUAAAUGCUUACAUAUAUUGCAUGCUUGCUCACAAGCAUCUACAAGACAGGGCGGGUGAAAGGGUACACAUUAUUAGCACGUUUGUAUCUGGCCAGAUAAAAGAAGACGGGGAAAGAGACAUAGACCCAUCAAAAUAUCACCGCAUCGUGCUUCAUGUCAAUACUUAUCUACAGCAAGAUAUGUUAUUCAUUCCGAUUAACAUGCCGGGCUACCAUUGGUAUCUAGCAGUCGCCAAUGCCAAAAAACGUGAGAUUCAAGUAUUGGACUCACUUGGUUCUCGUGUCAAACGCAAUGACCUUGCUACUACGUUACUAGGACUCGAGAAGCGAAUAAAACUUGUAGAGCACAGUCCGGAGUUUAUCAGAGGUCAUAAGUGGCCCGAUCUGAAUGUUACAAAAUGGACGGUUGUAGAGCAGUUUCAUGAGGCAAUGCAAACCGAUGGCGUAUCAUGUGGACUGUUUAUGCUAAAUUAUAUGGAAUACUGGACAUCACAUGGACUGUCAGACACGUUCACCCAGGAGGAUAUGAAACAUUUUCGAAAAAAAUUAGCUGUCAUUUUGCUCGAUUCAGAGCUGAAUAAGCUAAAAGGAGAUCCCAUAUACCAUCAACCUGACGAUGAAGAAACUUUAGCUAAUUCUGAUAUCGAGAUCCUGGAGAAUCCAUCUGACGUAGUCAAAGACAAACGUCCUGCCCCAAUCACUACAAUACCCACGGACCAACGUGAAUUACUUGCCGGCCUCUGCAACUACAUCAUGUCUAUCGAUGAUGCCGGGUGUUUGGAGAAGGUAUGGGUCCGGAGCUCGACACCCGAUCCAAUGGGCUUAAGUCUUAAGAAACUUCAGUGCAUACUUAACAUGGAGCAGACCAUGGACAAUGACUGCUUCAACACAGCCGUGCGUAUGCUGGCAUGUGACGAGGGAGUAUUGUUCACAGACCCUCCUGUGCACUACAUGGAUCUACGAUUUUGUUUCAUGAUGCUAGAGUCAACACGAGGUCAGAAGUUUUGCGAGAAGGAAACUAUCCAGAGGUUGGCAACAUUAUUUGAUAGCUGGCCUGAGAUGGACAACGACAUCUCAUCGUGCAACAAGAUUUAUCUUCCCUAUGCAUCCAUCGGCCGAUACAUCUUGAAUUUGUCUGGCUAUUUUGUUUUUCAUUUUAUGCUCUGGUGGAACGGUCAAGAUUUGGUCAAGCCGAUUUGCGCGGAUGGCUGUAGAUGCUGUAACCCGACGUGGCAAACACGGCUCGACCGGACUAAACCGGGCAGCCACUCACGCGCCUCGUCGAGUCCCACUCGGCCGGCCGGAACCAAACCAAACAAGAAGGAAAACAUGUCCACAUCACGGGCGGCCAGCCAGCCAGCCACGACGCCCCUCCAUUUCUCCCCACUGCCCGACCUCCCCGCACGCACGCGCGAGCAUCUCCAACUCCGCCCCCGCCCCCGCCUCCGAUUCCACGCCUCCUCUGCGCGCGCCAGAUCCGGCCAGCGCAGGCGUGACGCGGCGGGCCUGCUCUCGCGCCGCGCUUGA
rnacentral:rRNA from 1 species